rnacentral:lncRNA from 13 species
AUGCACAGUUCCAGGUGUCAGGAAAGCUGCUCAGGGCUGGGGCGGGCCGGGCGGUGGAGAGCCGAGCCCUCACUCCUUUUUGGUGUCUGCUGUGUGGAUGUGGCGGUCUGCUGGCUGCAGCCGCCUAAUCUACGGGGGUUGUGGGGGGUUGGGGGCGGGAGGGGCUCUGGUGGCCUAGCACCUCCGCAGGCCUGGAGCUGGUGGUCAUCGCUCAGGUCAGGACGGCGGCCCAGCGCUGGCUGUGCUGGGCUGACCACCAGGCUCCUUCCUCAGGGCGUCCUGAGCCAGGCCACAGGUGGUCACGCUGCGGGAGGCCUGGCAGGGUUCCGGGUGCCCUGCAGACUCCAGCACCGUGGCCAUGAACGGGAGGGUGGACUUCCCGAAAAGGAAGCUGGCCUACCAGUGACCUGGGAGACCCGAGGAAGAAACAGCUUCAGAAUCAUCAGUCACUUGGAUGACGUGAAAGAUAGGAUGCUUCUUGCACUCAUGCCCAUGUGUUCAAAUGGAAAGUCUCAUAUAACAGGAAGCCUCGCUAACAAAAGACGAUUUUCUGUGAAGUUCUGGCUAAACUAAGGAAAAGUCCAUCCAUCAUGCGAGAUUGAUGAUCCCUGCAGAGGUUAAAAUCCUAGGAAUCAGAAAUUUGGUAAGUUUUUAUAAACAUAAAACAAAGUCUGGUUAACGGUCAAACUGCCAAAAGUAAAAUGCAAUACUAAUUUCUUAGAUAUGAAUGAAUUCCUUGUGGAUAUUAUCAGUAAAGUUUUUUCUUUGCAGGAUCUCUUUCCUUUUCCUUAAUAUUUUCCUUUUAUUGGCCAUGGUUUUUCCUUAAAACAAUCGAUUUAGUAAGCUUAAUUGUACAUAGUAAAAAAUUUAAAAACCUGCAAGUUAUUUUUAUAAUGACUCCAAAUAAUAUCAUCCAUUUUUUCCAGUAAAUGUGUUUUGUCUCUUCAAUUGCCUCUCCUGAUCAAGAAAGCAAAGACUACACUUCAGGACAAAAAGUGAAGAAUAAAUUUGAUUCAUGUUAGUGCCA